GAGAAUGGUUGCAAAGUAUUGUUAUGAUUCGAAACGGCGAAUGUGAAUGAAACCAGAAAAAUCUGGGAUUCGUUCGAUGCAAGCGGCAAGGGUAAACUGUUCAAUCAAAUGAAGAAAGUAGCUGUCGGCAAAGCUAUUAAAAAGCUUUUAUUCGGAUAUAUAAAACUGCACUGGAAGAGUGGGAUAGCGUUUGUGAGCUACAACAUUGACCAAUGCGUUCGCCAUCAAGCGCAGAUACUAAAACCUAUCCUGCAGAAAUUGAGCAGUUUCACUCCCCAGUUAAGUAGUUAUCCUACGUGCGACAAAUGCCACCAGGAGUUCAUAACCGUCAACAUUAUUUCCGAGAUGGAGCAAGAGUUAUUGAUUGAUGACCGCCAGCUGUCAAAUAAAGAUAACAUUACCGAGACGGAUACAAUCGAACAGAAACCCGAAACGCUAAUUAGUAGACAAAAUGAAAAACUCUAAUAUCAUAAAAAUAGACGAAGAAGAAAACAACACCUUAACAAUUCCGGCUGCAAGAAAAGGUAGUUUGGAUGGUCCGCAAAAGAAAAUCCGUCAUAAACGCAGAAAAUCCUCGAGGACGGAGGUUUAAUGAAAUACCACACACGGUUACACACAGGAAAAAAAUCAUUAAAAUUUGAAAAACGCUGAAAUUUAAAUGCUUUAAAUGCUAAAUGCUUCUUGCGCAUUGACAAUUCGCUAAAACUUUGUGAUGGCCAAUUUUUACUUUACACAGAAACAGCAACAUGCUAUACAAUUCAGGGUAUAUACAAAUUUAGGGAAACACAGUUACACAGCCAUUAGAAAGUUAUCAGAUUGAUCCUUAACAACGAAGCGUUCUUGUAUCAUUUUCUGGAAAAAUUACGGAGAGUCAGUGGAAGUGAGCACCGAUAUAGCUUCGACGACGUGAUACUACAGGCCGAGGACCGAUUUCUAAGCAAUUCGUUGAGAAGCACGUCGAACAAUGGCAACCAACAAAACUGGUGAUUCAGAGAGGCUGAUUUUCAACAACGCAACCAACGAACAAGGAAUUCAGGGUUUAAACUGCAAUAUUUUGCCGCAUAUUUUGAAUUUUACCAAUCAAUUUCUUACUUCCUUUAUCUUCAACAAACCAAUCUGUCAAAAAGAGAGAUUCGAACGAAUUAUAUUGGCGAUCUAAAGGCUGAUUUAGGGUAAGGUUACAUUGGC